rnacentral:hammerhead_ribozyme from 1 species
AUCCAAAUGAUAAGUCCCAAAUGGGACAAAACUCGCGUCCUGGAU